UCAACUUAAAGCGUGGAGGGUUUCUUUCUCCCGACUCUUUCACUUCAUCUUCUCCAAUGUCUGUUUUGUUUCACCUCCCCUCCCCUCUAUAUUUUCAACUUUCCACAUACAAAUCUCCAGUCGUCGUCUACUUCUGGAGAAACCACCCCCACCGAGAAGCUAAUGCACAAGAGGUUUACCAGAAUUCGCUGAGGACAGAGGCAAAAGCCAGUGUGGUCAAUGGAACCGGAUACGAGCUUGAUCAGGUAAGGUCGGAUGUCUAGAGGCUAGCUGAAGAUAGAUAAAAGCCAUCGGCUGUAACAACUGUGCUCAACGGCGAGAUAGCCAAGGUCAAAGCUAGAUCGGACUGAGCCAUGGAGAGUAAGGCGGACUCUUCGAGAAGAAGUUAGCAAAGGAAGGUGAAAACUGAAUAUACCUUUGUUCUGGAGUUGACAAUUUUGGACGAACAGUGACAAUUUUGAAAAAGGGCUUCUCUUGAGCGACCAUGAAAGCGGUAUGGAGAAGACCACCGAUCACUUACAUCGUCAAACUAUGAACUUCGACAAGUAUUGUCUAACGUGGAGAUCAAAGAUAGAGCAGCAACUGCCGCUGUUGAGGCAGCUCAAAACACAAGCAAUCUCAGAGUUUAGUUUAAACAUUUACUUGCAAAACUAACUUAUAACUUUGUGAACCUGUUCAUGUAAGGCCAUGGAUUCGUUGCAAGUUAUGAAAACUCAGAUGAUGUGUAUUGCUUACGCAAGCCAAGGCCACCAACCCCCUGAAGAUAACGGUCCUAACCAGUUUCUCUAACACUGCAACGUACACGAGUCCACAAAACCUAAACUCAUUGCAUAGAUCCACUGCAUCAAACGCGAGUUAAUGUUUAUAUAAACUGUGAGCUAAUGUUACCUGGGAGGUUUGUGCAGUAGAGAGAAGAUGAGUUUUCGUCACUCCGGUGGAAAGAAUAUGUAGAUUGCAGUGAAGGCUCUCCACCAGAAGUUGUUCCUAAAAAUAAAUCGAAUAAGCAUUUAAUCGAAGCUCAUUUAGAAACAUAUGUGUCUUCUACUCUAUAUAAUGUUGAAAAGGAGAGAAUUAAGGUGUGCCUGUUAAGGGUGGGCUAAAUGAGGUAGCAUCGUUCUUUGGUGUUUUAGAAUUUGCAUUUAAAAUGAUAAUAUGUUGAACCUUUAAAAUCCUUAUAUCUAGCUUAUGUUUCUGACCAAGGAACCAAAAUACUGUUGGUGUAGGAGGCAUUGUUUCCUGUAUACUGGAAUGUAGAUAAUUGGCAUGUGCUUAGAGUCUAGAAACUGUGACAGGGACUGUGUUUUGAAUCAUAUUUUUUUUGUGCUUUCUAUUCAGGAGAACUAGGCCAAGAACUAGAGAGAUCGUUAGAGCUCAAAUCAAGGGUCUGCAGAGGCGCCAAAUUGUAAAUUGAGAUGUUAUCUUUUCUUUUUGUUUUAGUACAUCAGUUUGGUCUAUGAUGUUUAAAUCCAUGUUAGUUCUCGAUAUUUUCAUGAUAAUCCAGAAAAGUCCACAUGAUUUGACACCCUUCCCCUCAUUAGGACGACUAAUACAAUAUCUGAUUGUCUUAAAGGAAAUGUUCAUGCAUAGCUGAUACAGAUAUAUCGUUCGCAUGGUCACUUAUUAUGACAUGUUUGACCA